UCAGGAUGAACGCUAGCGGCAGGCUUAACACAUGCAAGUCGAGGGGCAGCGCGAGUAGCAAUACUUGGCGGCGACCGGCGCAAGGGUGCGUAACGCGUGAGCAACAUGCCCGUAUCAGGGGGAUAAUCCAGGGAAACUUGGUCUAAUACCCCAUAGUAAUUUUGUAAGGCAUCUUAUAAGAUUUAAAGCUUUGGUGGAUACGGAUUGGCUCGCGUGACAUUAGCUGGAUGGUAAGGUAACGGCUUACCAUGGCUAUGAUGUCUAGGGGUUCUGAGAGGAAGGUCCCCCACACUGGAACUGAGACACGGUCCAGACUCCUACGGGAGGCAGCAGUGAGGAAUAUUGGACAAUGGAUGGAAAUCUGAUCCAGCCAUGCCGCGUGAAAAGGAAGAAGGUCCUAUGGAUUGUAAACUUCUUUUGUAUGGGAGCAAUAAGGCCUACGAGUAGGUUGAUGAGAGUACCAUACGAAUAAGCACCGGCUAACUCCGUGCCAGCCGCCGC
rnacentral:rRNA from 1 species